UCAAAGAUUAAGCCAUGCAAGUGAAAGUAUAUGCAUAUUUUAUAUGUAGAAACUGCGAACGGCUCAUUAAAACAGUUAUAAUCUACUUGACAUUUUUUCUAUAAGGAUAACUACGGAAAAGCUGUAGCUAAUACUUGCUUUAGCACUCUUGAUUAAGUUCUUGAGUGUGUACUUGUUAAGCCUUUUAAGAAAAAAGUUAUUAACUUAAGGAAUUAUAACAAAGAAGCAACACGUAAAUGGAUUUUCCAUUUUUUAGUGUGUAUCAAUCGAGUUUCUGACCUAUCAGCUUUUGAUGUUAGGGUAUUGGCCUAACAUGGCUAUGACGGGUAACGGGGAAUUAGAGUUCGAUUCCGGAGAGGGAGCCUGAGAAAUAGCUACCACAUCUAAGGAAGGCAGCAGGCGCGUAAAUUACCCAAUUCUAAAGAAGAGAGGUAGUGACAAGAAAUAACAAUACAAGGCCAAAACUGGUUUUGUAAUUGGAAUGAUGGGAAUUUAAAACCUUCCCAAAAUACAAUUGGAGGGCAAGUCUGGUGCCAGCAGCCGCGGUAAUUCCAGCUCCAAUAGCGUAUAUUAAAAUUGUUGCAGUUAAAACGCUCGUAGUUGAAUUUCAAAGAAUCGAUAUUUUAAGUAGCACUUUGUAGAUUAAUCCACAUAACUGAUACUACGUAUCGACUUUGUGAGCAUUUUUCUACUUAUGUGUUCUUUUAAUUAAAAUGAUUCUUUUUAAGAUCUUUCUUUUUUGCUUCGGCAUUUUAGGAGAUCUUGUUACUUUGAGUAAAUUAGAGUGUUCAAAGCAAACAGAUUAUAGCAUCUUUAUGCGUUUGAAUACUAUAGCAUGGAAUAACAAAAUUGAACAAGUCAGAAUUUUGUUCUUUUUUCUUAUUUUGGCUUAGUUACGAUUAAUAGGAGUAGCUUGGGGGCAUUUGUAUUCAGAUGUCAGAGGUGAAAUUCUUAGAUUUUCUGGAGACAAACAACUGCGAAAGCAUUUGCCUAAAAUACUUCCAUUAAUCAAGAACGAAAGUUAAGGGAGUGAAGACGAUCAGAUACCGUCGUAAUCUUAACCAUAAACUAUGCCGACUAGGCUUUGGAUGAAAGAUUUUAAAAUAAGAGUUUUUUCUCUGAGGAGUUAAAACUCUUAGAUUGCUUCCUUCAGUGCCUUAUGAGAAAUCAAAGUCUUUGGGUUCUGGGGCGAGUAUUCGCGCAAGCGAGAAAGUUAAAAGAAUUGACGGAAGGGCACCACCAGGCGUGGAGCUUGCGGCUUAAUUUGACUCAACACGGGAAAACUCACUAGUUUAAGACAAGAGUAGGAUUGACAGAUUAAUAGCUCUUUCUUGAUUUCUUGGAUGGUGAUGCAUGGCCGUUUUUAGUUCGUGAAUAUGAUUUGUCUGGUUAAUUCCGAUAACGAACGAGAUCUUAACCUGCUAAUUAGCGGCAAAUACGAUAUAUUCUUAUGUGGAAUUGGAUAUAGUUGAUUUGCUUAUUUUGAAGAAAAUAUUGGGAUACGUAGAUGUAUCCCUUUCCCUUUUCUACUUAAUUUGCUUAUCAUACUAUUUCUUUUUUGCGUAAGAAUGUAUUUGCUUGAUUGUAAAGCUUCUUAGAGGAACGAUGUGUGUCUAACACAAGGAGUUUAAGGCAACAACAGG
rnacentral:rRNA from 1 species